GAGGGUAUAGCUCAACCGGUAGCACGCGUGCUUAGCAUGCACGAGGUCCUGGGUUCAACCCCCAGUGCCUCCU
rnacentral:tRNA from 1 species